rnacentral:rRNA from 1 species
GUCGAACGGACACUUCGGUGUCAGUGGCGGACGGGUGAGUAACACGUAAGUAACCUGCCCAGAAGUGGGGAAUAACUAGCCGAAAGGCUGGCUAAUACCGCAUGUGAUGGCUCGCCCUUGGGGGAACCAUUAAAGGCUUCGGUCGCUUCUGGAGGGGCUUGCGGUCGAUUAGCUAGUUGGUGGGGUAAUGGCCUACCAAGGCGACGAUCGAUAGCUGGUCUGAGAGGACGGUCAGCCACACGGGGACUGAGAUACGGCCCCGACUCCUACGGGAGGCAGCAGCUAGGAAUCUUGGGAAUGGGCGAAAGCCUGACCCAGCAACGCCGCGUGGGCGAUGAAGGCCUUCGGGUUGUAAAGCCCUUUUGCAGGGGAAGAUGAUGACGGUACCCUGCGAAUAAGCCACGGCUAACUACGUGCCAGCAGCCGCGGUAAUACGUAGGUGGCAAGCGUUGUCCGGAUUUACUGGGCGUAAAGGGCGUGCAGGCGGUCUGUUAAGUCUAGGGUGAAAGCUCCCGGCUCAACUGGGAGAGGUCCUUGGAUACUGGCGGACUUGAGGGAGGUAGAGGAAAAGUGGAAUUCCCCGGUGUAGUGGUGAUAUGCGUAGAUAUCGGGAAGGAACACCAGUGGCGAAGGCGGCUUUUCUGGGCCUUACCUGACGCUGAAACGCGAAAGCGUGGGGAGCGAACGGAUUAAAUACCCGGGUAGUCCACGCCGUAAACUAUGGACACUAGGUGUGGGGGGUUAUCAACCCCCUCCGUGCCGAAGCUAACGCAAUAAGUGUCCCGCCUGGGGAGUACGGCCGCAAGGC